UGAUGAGCAAUGAAAACGCUUAUUGGAUUUUGGAUACACGUCCAGAGCUACUACGACACAGCUCAGCACAGCAGCCGCAAGAGGCAGCAACUCAACUUUUUUCCUGACUUGACUUUUGGCUGGUUUGGGUCAGAAUGGCUAACUACUGGUCUGUUCAGGUUUUCUGUGGGCUUUUAUCCACCAUGCUCUUGGUCAUGGGGGCACUGGAUGGUGGGAUGGAAUGUACAGACAAGGACAGAUUACUGACACAGAUAUCCAAAGAUCUGGACCCACCAUCGGAGUGUGUGCUAGGCUGCACUGCACUGACUUACAGAGCUAUGCUGGAGACACAAAAUAUACCUACUGUACGCUUCAAAGACUCUACAGCAGGUGAGCAUGGAGAAUACUGCUGGUCCAGGAGAACAAAGUGUAGCCCCGGAGAGAGCCUGCUUCAAGCCUACAUCGUGUUACCUGUGGAUGUGUCACUGGUUAACAAGGAAACCCUUGGAUUGAAAGCUACUCUCCCCCACCAUAACAACAUACUCACUCCUCACAACGGUCCCACGCCACUUUCCAAACUCUGUGGUCUCCGCUUUGACAUCACAGACCAGUUCACCGUGACAAAGAGAUUGCCAACGUUCUGUGUGCAGGUUGUACCACAGCAGAGCACGUUGGAAAACGGAAUUCCUAUUAGAUGCCCACCUUUCUUGGUGACGAUGUGGCAGAGGCUGAAUAAGUAACCUACAAAGCAAUGGAGGGGGAUGAAAAGGACUUGUAAAGCUGACAACCAUCCAAAAUGUUUAAUGGCAUCAAGGUUCGUUUGUCAGAAUUGUUAGGUAACCCUUCUCCUAUUGUAAAUGCAUCUGGAUCUGAUAGUCUUGCUUAUUUCACAGCUAUCUAUCUCGUCAGCAACACAUUGUAUAUAAAAUAGUGUUUCUUCAUAUAUUGAUUUAGCAGCGGUGCCCCGCCACUCCCCCCCCCCAAAAAAAAAUAUAGAGUGACAAGUUACAACAUAUCUUUUGUCUUUAGAUUCUCGCUACAAUUGUCACUGCUGCUGAAUGAAAUCCUUAGGGAGGACGAUGCUGUAACAGUCACAGUAGGUUGUAUCAUGUUUAUGGAAGAGAAAAAGGAUGUCCGAUUCAAAUGGAAAGUCAGCUAAAACAACGGAUUGUCCGAUGAAAUUACCCAGAACUCUUUGACACAAGACUGUUGACUAAAUGGAGUACUUUCAACGAUGACUUGAAAUGGACUCAGUUUGGAAUGAGAAGAACGUGAGGUAAAUGUAUGGAAGGCGAAAAUUAACCGUUGUAUUUGAUAGAUAGAUAGAUAGAUAGAUAGAUAGAUAGAUAGAUAGAUAGAUAGAUAGAUAGAUAGAUAGAUAGAUAGAUAGAUAGAUAGAUAGAUAGAUAGAUAGAUAGAUAGAUAGAUAGAUAGAUAGAUAGAUAGAUAGAUAGAUAGAUAGAUAGAUAGACAGACAGACAGACAGACAGACAGACAGACAGACAGACAGACAGACAGACAGACAGACAGACAGACAGACAGACAGACAGACAGACAGACAGACAGAUAGAUAGAUAGAUAGAUAGAUAGAUAGAUAGAUAGAUAGAUUGAUUGAUUGAUUGAUUGAUUGAUUGAUUGAUUGAUUGAUUGAUUGAUUGAUUGAUUGAUUGAUUGAUAGAUUGAUAGAUUGAUAGAUUGAUUGAUUGAUUGAUUGAUUGAUUGAUUGAUAUCAAUAUCAUUGUUAAUAUGCUGUAUGGAUGUAUGCUUUUGGGUCGAUAGUUGAUUCUAGAUUGAGAUAAUAUUUCAAAUAAUAUGGAUUUGAGGCCUUUGUGUUCAUUUGUGCUCUAAUGUGUGGAGCAAACAUUUGAUGGCACAUAUGUAUACAGAAUGUAUAAGCUUCUUAUAAGAAAUAUAUGUGGCUGCUAUUUUAAGUGUGUGAACACCAGAAACUGUCCUAAAGCACAUUUAUUUUAUUUAACUUUUAUUAUAUUUACUUUAACUUCUAUUUUUAUUUACUUUAAUUUGCUAUAACACCACACUAAUUGGGUUGAUGUAACCUCUGCAAACUGUGAGCUUUACUAGAAUGUUUUUCCAACCAUGUCAAGUAUCCACAACAUUAAAACAACUUCACAUGA